rnacentral:rRNA from 1 species
AUGCAAGUCGAACGGCAGCACGGGUGCUUGCACCUGGUGGCGAGUGGCGAACGGGUGAGUAAUACAUCGGAACAUGUCCUGUAGUGGGGGAUAGCCCGGCGAAAGCCGGAUUAAUACCGCAUACGAUCUAUGGAUGAAAGCGGGGGACCUUCGGGCCUCGCGCUAUAGGGUUGGCCGAUGGCUGAUUAGCUAGUUGGUGGGGUAAAGGCCUACCAAGGCGACGAUCAGUAGCUGGUCUGAGAGGACGACCAGCCACACUGGGACUGAGACACGGCCCAGACUCCUACGGGAGGCAGCAGUGGGGAAUUUUGGACAAUGGGCGAAAGCCUGAUCCAGCAAUGCCGCGUGUGUGAAGAAGGCCUUCGGGUUGUAAAGCACUUUUGUCCGGAAAGAAAUCCUUGGCUCUAAUACAGUCGGGGGAUGACGGUACCGGAAGAAUAAGCACCGGCUAACUACGUGCCAGCAGCCGCGGUAAUACGUAGGGUGCAAGCGUUAAUCGGAAUUACUGGGCGUAAAGCGUGCGCAGGCGGUUUGCUAAGACCGAUGUGAAAUCCCCGGGCUCAACCUGGGAACUGCAUUGGUGACUGGCAGGCUAGAGUAUGGCAGAGGGGGGUAGAAUUCCACGUGUAGCAGUGAAAUGCGUAGAGAUGUGGAGGAAUACCGAUGGCGA